GAUGAAGAACGCAGCGAAAUGCGAUAAGUAGUGUGAAUUGCAGAAUUCAGUGAAUCAUCGAAUCUUUGAACGCACAUUGCGCCCUUUGGUAUUCCAAAGGGCAUGCCUGUUCGAGCGUCAUUUGUACCCUCAAGCUUUGCUUGGUGUUGGGCGUCUUGUCUCUAGCUUUGCUGGAGACUCGCCUUAAAGUAAUUGGCAGCCGGCCUACUGGUUUCGGAGCGCAGCACAAGUCGCACUCUCUAUCAGCAAAGGUCUAGCAUCCAUUAAGCCUUUUUUCAACUUUUGACCUCGGAUCAGGUAGGGAUACCCGCUGAACUUAAGCAUAUCAAUAAGCGG
rnacentral:rRNA from 1 species